rnacentral:rRNA from 1 species
CCCUUAGAUGUUCUGGGCUGCACGCGCGCUACACUGACGCACGCAACAGGUGCCUGCUCCGAGAGGACUGGGUGAUCAUUUGAGUGUGCGUCGUGAUGGGGAUAGAAUAUUGUAAUUAUUACUCUUCAACGAGGAAUUCCUAGUAAGCGCCAGUCAGCAGCUUGCGCUGAUUACGUCCCUGCCCUUUGUACACACCGCCCGUCGCUCCUACCGAUGGGUGAUCCGGUGAAUGAUUCGGACUUCAGCGGCUCCCCUGGGGUGCGCCGGAGAAAGUUUUGUGAACCUUAUCACUUGGAGGAAGGAGAAGUCGUAACA